CAGCAGCAGCCGCGGUAAUACGGAGGGUGCAAGCGUUAAUCGGAAUUACUGGGCGUAAAGCGUGCGUAGGCGGUUCGUUAAGUCUGUUGUGAAAGCCCCGGGCUCAACCUGGGAAUGGCAAUGGAUACUGGCGAGCUAGAGUGUGUCAGAGGAUGGUGGAAUUCCCGGUGUAGCGGUGAAAUGCGUAGAGAUCGGGAGGAACAUCAGUGGCGAAGGCGGCCAUCUGGGACAACACUGACGCUGAGGCACGAAAGCGUGGGGAGCAAACAGGAUUAGAUACCCCAGUAGUCCCUGUCUCUUAUAC
rnacentral:rRNA from 1 species